GGCAAGAUGGCCGAGCGGUCUAAGGCGCCACGUUAAGGUAAACCCUUAAUUCAAGGUCUCAUCUUCUGAUGAGUCAAGAAAUCCGUGGUCCGAAAGGGCGUGGGUUCGAAUCCCACUCUUGUCA